rnacentral:rRNA from 1 species
GACGAACGCUGGCGGCGUGCCUAAUACAUGCAAGUCGACCUUAGUUGCGUACGGGUGAGUAACACGUGGGUAACCUGCCCAUCAGAAGGGGAUAACACUUGGAAACCGGUGCUAAUACCGCAUACUGAUGUAUGGACCCGCGGUUCGUUAGCUAGUUGGUGAGGUAACGGCGCACCAAGGCCACGAUGCAUAUCCGACCUGAGAGGGUGAUCGGCCACAAUGGGACUGAGACGCGGCCCAGACUCCUACGGGAGGCAGCGGUAGGGAAUCUGCGGCAAUGGACGAAAGGCUGACCGAGCAGCGCCGCGUGAGUGAAGAAGGUUUUGGGAUCGUAAGACUCUGUUGUUAGAGAAGCGGUAUCUAACCAGAAAGCCACGGCUAACUACGUGCCAGCAGCCGCGGUAAUUC